rnacentral:rRNA from 1 species
GAUAAACGCUGGCGGCGUGCCUAAUACAUGCAAGUCGAGCGAACGGACGAGAAGCUUGCUUCUCUGAUGUUAGCGGCGGACGGGUGAGUAACACGUGGAUAACCUACCUAUAAGACUGGGAUAACCUCGGGAAACCGGAGCUAAUACCGGAUAAUAUUUUGAACCGCAUGGUUCAAAAGUGAAAGACGGUCUUGCUGUCACUUAUAGAUGGAUCCGCGCUGCAUUAGCUAGUUGGUAAGGUAACGGCUUACCAAGGCAACGAUGCAUAGCCGACCUGAGAGGGUGAUCGGCCACACUGGAACUGAGACACGGUCCAAACUCCUACGGGAGGCAGCAGUAGGGAAUCUUCCGCAAUGGGCGAAAGCCUGACGGAGCAACGCCGCGUGAGUGAUGAAGGUCUUCGGAUCGUAAAACUCUGUUAUUAGGGAAGAACAAAUGUGUAAGUAACUAUGCACGUCUUGACGGUACCUAAUCAGAAAGCCACGGCUAACUACGUGCCAGCAGCCGCGGUAAUACGUAGGUGGCAAGCGUUAUCCGGAAUUAUUGGGCGUAAAGCGCGCGUAGGCGGUUUUUUAAGUCUGAUGUGAAAGCCCACGGCUCAACCGUGGAGGGUCAUUGGAAACUGGAAAACUUGAGUGCAGAAGAGGAAAGUGGAAUUCCAUGUGUAGCGGUGAAAUGCGCAGAGAUAUGGAGGAACACCAGUGGCGAAGGCGACUUUCUGGUCUGUAACUGACGCUGAUGUGCGAAAGCGUGGGGAUCAAACAGGAUUAGAUACCCUGGUAGUCCACGCCGUAAACGAUGAGUGCUAAGUGUUAGGGGGUUUCCGCCCCUUAGUGCUGCAGCUAACGCAUUAAGCACUCCGCCUGGGGAGUACGACCGCAAGGUUGAAACUCAAAGGAAUUGACGGGGACCCGCACAAGCGGUGGAGCAUGUGGUUUAAUUCGAAGCAACGCGAAGAACCUUACCAAAUCUUGACAUCCUCUGACCCCUCUAGAGAUAGAGUUUUCCCCUUCGGGGGACAGAGUGACAGGUGGUGCAUGGUUGUCGUCAGCUCGUGUCGUGAGAUGUUGGGUUAAGUCCCGCAACGAGCGCAACCCUUAAGCUUAGUUGCCAUCAUUAAGUUGGGCACUCUAAGUUGACUGCCGGUGACAAACCGGAGGAAGGUGGGGAUGACGUCAAAUCAUCAUGCCCCUUAUGAUUUGGGCUACACACGUGCUACAAUGGACAAUACAAAGGGUAGCGAAACCGCGAGGUCAAGCAAAUCCCAUAAAGUUGUUCUCAGUUCGGAUUGUAGUCUGCAACUCGACUAUAUGAAGCUGGAAUCGCUAGUAAUCGUAGAUCAGCAUGCUACGGUGAAUACGUUCCCGGGUCU